rnacentral:rRNA from 1 species
GAUGAACGCUGGCGGCGUGCUUAACACAUGCAAGUCGAACGGAAAGGCCCAAGCUUGCUUGGGUACUCGAGUGGCGAACGGGUGAGUAACACGUGGGUGAUCUGCCCUGCACUUCGGGAUAAGCCUGGGAAACUGGGUCUAAUACCGGAUAGGACGAUGGUUUGGAUGCCAUUGUGGAGAGUUUUUUCGGUGUGGGAGGAGCUCGCGGCCUAUCAGCUUGUUGGUGGGGUAAUGGCCUACCAAGGCGUCGACGGGUAGCCGGCCUGAGAGGGUGUAGGGACACAUUGAGACUGAGAGACGGCCCGGACUCCGGCGGGAGGCAGCAGUGGGGAAUAUUGGACAAUGGGCUCAAGCCUGAUGCAGCGAGGCCGCGGGGUGGAUGAGGGCCUUUGGGUUGUAAACACCUUUCGCGAGGGACGAAGCGUUUUUGUGACGGUACCUGGAGAAGAAGCACCGGCUAACUACGUG